UACGUAGGGUGCGAGCGUUGUCCGGAAUUAUUGGGCGUAAAGAGCUUGUAGGUGGCUCGUCGCGUCGGGAGUGAAAACCCGCGGCUUAACCGCGGGCCUGCUUUCGAUACGGGCGGGCUAGAGUUCGGCAGGGGAGACUGGAAUUCCUGGUGUAGCGGUGGGAUGCGCAGAUAUCAGGAGGAACACCGGUGGCGAAGGCGGGUCUCUGGGCCGAUACUGACACUGAGAAGCGAAAGCGUGGGGAGCAAACAGG
rnacentral:rRNA from 1 species